rnacentral:rRNA from 1 species
UCCAGACUCCUACGGGAGGCAGCAGUGGGGAAUAUUGCACAAUGGGGGGAACCCUGAUGCAGCGACGCCGCGUGAGUGAAGAAGUAUUUCAGCAUGUAAAGCUCUAUCAGCAGGGAAGAAAAUGACGGUACCUGACUAAGAAGCCCCGGCUAACUACGUGCCAGCAGCCGCGGUAAUACGUAGGGGGCAAGCGUUAUCCGGAUUUACUGGGUGUAAAGGGAGCGCAGACGGCUGUGCAAGUCUGGAGUGAAAGGCGGGGGCCCAACCCCCGGACUGCUCUGGAAACUGUAAAGCUGGAGUGCAGGAGAGGUAAGCGGAAUUCCUAGUGUAGCGGUGAAAUGCGUAGAUAUUAGGAGGAACACCAGUGGCGAAGGCGGCUUACUGGACUGCAACUGACGUUGAGGCUCGAAAGCGUGGGGAGCAAACAGGAUUAGAUACCCUCGUAU